UAGUUUCCCAAAUCCCUGUUCACUGAAGGGUUGUCCAUGAGGCAGAGAAAAGAAUAUCCAAGUAUUAGAGAACCUAUUCUCUGCUAUAAUUCCUGCUCACACAGUUUUCAUUCUCCAUCAAGUCUCUCUAGCUAUUUCUUUAUGCCUCACCCCAAGUGGAGAGCAAUUCCAAUUGCACCCAUGGUAGUUCAGGGUGGGGACUGCCCUCCAGAAGAUAGGUAAGAAAGAGAACUUGAAGGCUGGAGCUCUCAUGUUGAGUGACAGAUCUGUGGUUCUUGUUUUUAGCAACACUAGUUCAUGUCUGUUUUCUAGUUUUCCUGGGCCACAGGACUCAAGGCUGUUCACCUACCAAUACCUUAGAGGAGACAACUUGCUUCUGAGCCAACAUCUACUUUCCUAAAAAUGGUGAAGACACAAACAUGGAUUAUGAGCACUGUGGAAAAGAAAAAGAGGACAACCUAAUGCGGUGGAGGCUCACUCCCACUUUCAGCCAUGCCUGAUGUUCCAGAGCUCAAAGCCUCCCUGGUUCAACCUCUCCAGAGUGGACUUUGCUCCAGUUUUCUGCAGAUCAACCAGCCCUCCUAUUUUCAGGCCAAGCCAACCUUCAAAGAUAACUGAGGACUACAAUGCCUGAAUCUUUCUGGAAUCUAAGAAGAUGUCAAGACUUGGGGGCGGAUGGUGACCAUGAUGUCUCUGAAGUCAACAGCUAUGACUCUUCCAGGCCUGGCAUUUUUUAAUCUAAAAUCGUAUUGUUAUCUCUCAUUGGCUGUUUUUUUUUUCUCUCCCUUUGUAUUUGUCCUUGUGGAUUUAUACUUUUUUAUCUACUUACUGUCAUUUUAGUGGGUUGAAGAGAAAACAGUGAUAAUGUGUAUGCUCAAUUUAUCAUAUUUAAUCAAAGUACUUCUUCUUAUCUUUUUCUGUAGUUCACUUUUAAAAAUUUCACCUUAGUUUAUGCAGUAUUCAUCUUGAUAUAUGAAGGGAAAUAAGGAUGUAAGUUGAAUCCCAUUCUGUGCCAGAGCUAAACAAAAGACCCAACACCAUGUCCCUUCCUUCCCUCUUGUUUGUAACAUACCAAGGAGUAUACUCUGCCUUCAGAAAUUAAAAAAAAAAAAAAAAAAAAAA